CCUACGGGAGGCAGCAGUGGGGAAUAUUGGACAAUGGGCGCAAGCCUGAUCCAGCCAUGCCGCGUGUGUGAAGAAGGCCUUCGGGUUGUAAAGCACUUUUAUCCGGAAAGAAAAGCUUUGGGUUAAUACCCUGAAGUCAUGACGGUACCGGAAGAAUAAGCACCGGCUAACUUCGUGCCAGCAGCCGCGGUAAUACGAAGGGUGCAAGCGUUACUCGGAAUUACUGGGCGUAAAGCGUGCGUAGGUGGUUUGUUAAGUCUGAUGUGAAAGCCCUAGGCUCAACCUGGGAAUUGCAUUGGAUACUGGCAGGCUAGAGUGCGGUAGAGGAUAGUGGAAUUCCCGGUGUAGCAGUGAAAUGCGUAGAGAUCGGGAGGAACAUCUGUGGCGAAGGCGACUAUCUGGGCCAGCACUGACACUGAGGCACGAAAGCGUGGGGAGCAAACAGGAUUAGAUACCCUGGUAGUCCACGCCCUAAACGAUGCGAACUGGAUGUUGGGUGCAACUGGCACUCAGUAUCGAAGCUAACGCGUUAAGUUCGCCGCCUGGGGGAGGUACGGUCGCGAGACGUAGAACGUUAAAGUAGUAGUUAGUACGGCGUGAGACGUUGCCGACGGACGACGACGAGGGAGGAGG
rnacentral:rRNA from 1 species